rnacentral:rRNA from 1 species
AUGUGCCGAAUCAAGAGCAAUUUAAAGGAGGUACAGCUCCUUUAAAAAAGAAUACAACCUCCCCUAGCGGAUAACUUACCCAACUGACCCUAGACUGUAGGCCCUCAAGCAGCCAUCAACAAAGAAUGCGUCAAAGCUCUACCCCAAAAAAAUUCAAAAACAACAGGACUCCCUUAUCUAUAACGGGCCAACCUAUAACAAUAGGAGAAUCAAUGCUAAAAUGAGUAAUCAGGGACCACCCUCUCAAGCGCAACGUUACAUCACCACAUUAUUAACAAGCCUCAAACUAAUACCCCCAACCCCAAACAAGCCAAAUAUUAAACUUGCCCUGUUAGCCCAACUCAGGAGCGCCCAUUAGAAAGAUCCAAAUCUGCAAAAGGAACUAGGCAACCUCAAGGCCCGACUGUUUACCAAAAACAUAGCCUUCAGCCAGCCAAGUAUUGGAGGUGAUGCCUGCCCAGUGACACUCUGUUCAACGGCCGCGGUAUCCUAACCGUGCGAAGGUAGCGCAAUCAAUUGUCCCAUAAAUCGAGACUUGUAUGAAUGGCUAAACGAGGUCUUAACUGUCUCUUGCAGACAAUCAAUGAAAUUGAUCUUCCUGUGCAAAAGCAGGAAUAAACCCAUAAGACGAGAAGACCCUGUGGAACUUAAAAAUCAGCGGCCACCCCACACAACCCAAAACCUACCAGGCCUACGACCCCAAGUAAAACACUGGCCCGCAUUUUUCGGUUGGGGCGACCUUGGAGAAAAGCAGAUCCUCCAAAAACAAGACCACACAUCCUGACCAAGAACAACCCCUCAACGUACCAACAGCAACCAGACCCAAUAUAAUUGAUCAAUGGACCAAGCUACCCCAGGGAUAACAGCGCAAUCCCCUCCAAGAGCCCAUAUCGACAAGGGGGUUUACGACCUCGAUGUUGGAUCAGGACACCCUAAUGGUGCAGCCGCUAUUAAGGGCUCGUUUGUUCAACGAUUAAAAGUCCUACGUGAUCUGAGUUCAGACCGGAGCAAUCCAGGUCGGUUUCUAUCUAUGACGGGCUUUUCCUAGUACGAAAGGACCGGAAAAGCAAGGCCCAUACUACAGGCAUGCCUUCCCUCUAAGUAGUGAACCCAACUAAACUACCAAACAGGACACACCAUUUUACCCAUCCUAGAAAAGGAUCGCUAGCGUGGCAGACUUGGUAAAUGCAA